rnacentral:tRNA from 1 species
GGAGGUGUAGCUCAGGGGUAGAAUACUUUUCUGGCAUGAAUGAGGCCCUGGGUUCAAUACCCAGCACCUCAA